UUUGUUCGCCCCGGCUCGUGUCG
rnacentral:piRNA from 1 species